UCGAGUCCCAGCUACUGCGAUUUA
rnacentral:siRNA from 1 species